GCUCAACCGGGGAGGGUCAUUGGAAACUGGGAAACUUGAGUGCAGAAGAGGAGAGUGGAAUUCCACGUGUAGCGGUGAAAUGCGUAGAGAUGUGGAGGAACACCAGUGGCGAAGGCGACUCUCUGGUCUGUAACUGACGCUGAGGAGCGAAAGCGUGGGGAGCGAACAGGAUUAGAUACCCUGGUAGUCCACGCCGUAAACGAUGAGUGCUAAGUGUUAGGGGGUUUCCGCCCCUUAGUGCUGCAGCUAACGCAUUAAGCACUCCGCCUGGGGAGUACGGUCGCAAGACUGAAACUCAAAGGAAUUGACGGGGGCCCGCACAAGCGGUGGAGCAUGUGGUUUAAUUCGAAGCAACGCGGAGAACCUUACCAGGUCUUGACAUCCUCUGACAACCCUAGAGAUAGGGCUUUCCCUUCGGGGACAGAGUGACAGGUGGUGCAUGGUUGUCGUCAGCUCGUGUCGUGAGAUGUUGGGUUAAGUCCCGCAACGAGCGCAACCCUUGAUCUUAGUUGCCAGCAUUUAGUUGGGCACUCUAAGGUGACUGCCGGUGACAAACCGGAGGAAGGUGGGGAUGACGUCAAAUCAUCAUGCCCCUUAUGACCUGGGCUACACACGUGCUACAAUGGACAGAACAAAG
rnacentral:rRNA from 1 species